rnacentral:rRNA from 1 species
AUGAGUACUAUCCGGGAGACAGACUGCGGGUGCUAACGUCCGUAGUCAAGAGGAAAACAAUCCAGACCGCCAGCUAAGGCCCCAAAAUCAUAGUUAAGUGGGAAACGAUGUGGGAAGGCAUAGACAGCUAGGAGGUUGGCUUAGAAGCAGCCACCCUUUAAAGAAAGCGUAAUAGCUCACUAGUCGAGUCGGCCUGCGCGGAAGAUGUAACGGGGCUAAAACUAUGUGCCGAAGCUGCGGAUGCACAUUUAUGUGCGUGGUAGGGGAGCGUUCUGUAAGCCGAUGAAGGUGGAUUGAGAAGUCUGCUGGAGGUAUCAGAAGUGCGAAUGCUGACGUGAGUAACGACAAAACGGGUGAAAAACCCGUUCGCCGAAAGACCAAGGGUUCCAGUCCAACGUUAAUCGGGGCUGGGUGAGUCGACCCCUAAGGCGAGGCCGAAAGGCGUAGUCGAUGGGAAAUUGGUUAAUAUUCCAAUACUUCUGUGUAAUGCGAUGAGAGGACGGAGAAGGUUAGGUCAGCCUGGCGUUGGUUGUCCAGGUGGAAGACAGUAGGCAUGCAUCUUAGGCAAAUCCGGGGUGCUCUAUGCUGAGAGUCGAUAGCAAGCCAGUUUACUGGCGAAGUGGCCGAUACCAUACUUCCAAGAAAAGUCUCUAAGCUUCAGUUACACAGGAAUCGUACCCGAAACCGACACAGGUGGUCAGGUCGAGUAGACCAAGGCGCUUGAGAGAACUCUGCUGAAGGAACUAGGCAAAAUGGUACCGUAACUUCGGGAGAAGGUACGCUGCUGAUGGUGAUAGGACUUGCUCCUUGAGCUGUCGGCAGCCGCAGAAACCAGGCCGCUGCAACUGUUUAUUAAAAACAUAGCACUCUGCAAACACGAAAGUGGACGUAUAGGGUGUGAUGCCUGCCCGGUGCUGGAAGGUUAAUUGAUGGGGUUAGCGUAAGCGAAGCUCUUGAUCGAAGCCCCAGUAAACGGCGGCCGUAACUAUAACGGUCCUAAGGUAGCGAAAUUCCUUGUCGGGUAAGUUCCGACCUGCACGAAUGGCAUAAUGAUGGCGGCGCUGUCUCCAGCAGAGGCUCAGUGAAAUCGAAAUCGCUGUGAAGAUGCAGUGUACCCGCGGCUAGACGGAAAGACCCCGUGAACCUUUACUGCAGCUUGACACUGAACUUUGACCUUACUUGUGUAGGAUAGGUGGGAGGCUUUGAAGUAGGGACGCCAGUUCCUAUGGAGCCAUCCUUGAAAUACCACCCUGGUAAUGUUGAGGUUCUAACUCUGACCCAUAAUCUGGGUCGAGGACCGUGUCUGGUGGGUAGUUUGACUGGGGCGGUCUCCUCCUAAAGAGUAACGGAGGAGUACGAAGGUGCGCUCAGCGUGGUCGGAAAUCACGCGUAGAGUAUAAAGGCAAAAGCGCGCUUAACUGCGAGACCCACAAGUCGAGCAGGUACGAAAGUAGGUCUUAGUGAUCCGGUGGUUCUGUAUGGAAGGGCCAUCGCUCAACGGAUAAAAGGUACUCUGGGGAUAACAGGCUGAUACCGCCCAAGAGUUCAUAUCGACGGCGGUGUUUGGCACCUCGAUGUCGGCUCAUCUCAUCCUGGGGCUGAAGCAGGUCCCAAGGGUAUGGCUGUUCGCCAUUUAAAGAGGUACGCGAGCUGGGUUUAGAACGUCGUGAGACAGUUCGGUCCCUAUCUACCGUGGGCGCUGGAAAUUUGAGAGGAUCUGCUCCUAGUACGAGAGGACCAGAGUGGACGAACCUCUGGUGUACCGGUUGUGACGCCAGUCGCAUCGCCGGGUAGCUAUGUUCGGAAGGGAUAACCGCUGAAAGCAUCUAAGCGGGAAGCCUACCUCAAGAUAAGAUUUCCCCGUGACUUUAUGUCACCUAAAGAGCCGUUCAAGACCAGGACGUUGAUAGGUUGGAUGUGGAAGCAUAGUGAUAUGUGAAGCUGACCAAUACUAAUUGCUCGUGAGGCUUGACUAU